rnacentral:rRNA from 1 species
AGUAGAAAGCAACCUAACUUCAGUAAGACCCAACAAGGGAUAUUUAUCAAAUGUUGGAUGAGGUUAUUAGGUAGGAUGGGAAGAGAGCGAGUCUGGGUAUAGAUAUCUGCUGACCACCAGCUGCGUUACUUCACCUCAGGGAGUGCUCGGGAAGGUGUUGGGAAUCAUGCAUCCGUAUAUGUCCUUCCCCAAGUGUACGUAAAAAACAGGUCCCAUUCAGAUGCGCCGCGAAGUAAAUUAAAGAACUAAGCAGCAGGGGAGGCAAGCGCUGUCAGUGGGUAGGGGUAAGAUCCGUUGAUCCAUUGACGUCCACCAGUGGCGAGGGAGGCUUGGCAGAUUGCGCUCGAGGGUGAGGGAUGAAAGCUGGGGGAGCAAACCGGAUUAGAUAACCGGGUAGUCCCAGCCGUCAGCGAUGCAGACUCGGUGAUGGGUUGGCUUCGCGCUAACCCAGUGCCGCAGGGAAGCCGUUAAGUUUGACACCUGGGUAGUACGGUCGCAAGACUGAAAAUUAAAGGAAUUGGCGGGGGAGCACCACAAGGGGUGAAGCCUGCGGUUCAAUUGGACUCAACCCCGGU